GGGAAUGUGAGGAAGCUGUUGCAUCACUAAUGGUUACUGCAGCUAGAUUUUUUGAUUUACCAGAGUUCUGUGACAUUAGGCCACUAUUUCAAGAGAGUUAAGUGAACUCUGGAUUAUUAUGUGGAUCAAAAGUUUGCUGAGAACAUAGCUUCAAAGCCUCCCACAUUGGUGAAGAAGGUCUUGGCCUACUGUAUUGCUGCCAA